CGACUGCUAUUUGGGUGAGGAUAAGCCAUGCGAGUUGAAUGGGAUACCUAAAUUUCCCAUGGCAAACUGCUCAGUAACACAUGAUCAACUUACCCUAUAGAGAAAAAUAACCUCGGGAAACUGAGGAUAAUAUUUCAUAGUUGAAUAGGCUUGGAAAAGUUCUUCAAUAAAAGGGAUAAAAAAAAUGGUUUUUAUCUGCUAUAGGAUAGGAUCGUGGACGAUUAUGGUUGUUGGUGAGGUAACGGCUCACCAAGCCGAUAAUCGAUAGGGGCCGUGAGAGCGGGAGCCCCGAGAUGGGUACUGAGACAACGACCCAGGCCUUACGAGGCGCAGCAGGCGCGGAACCUCCGCAAUACACGAAAGUGUGACGGGGUUACCCAAAGUGUUCAAUUCUGAACUGUGGUAGGUGAGUAAUGUUCCCUACUAGAAAGGAGAGGGCAAGGCUGGUGCCAGCCGCCGCGGUAAAACCAGCUCUUCAAGUGGUCGGGAUAAUUAUUGGGCUUAAAGUGUCCGUAGCCGGUUUAGUAAGUUCCUGGUAAAAUCGGGUAGCUUAACUAUCUGUAUGCUAGGAAUACUGCUAUACUAGAGGGCGGGAGAGGUCUGANGUACUACAGGGGUAGGGGUGAAAUCUUAUAAUCCUUGUAGGACCACCAGUGGCGAANGCGUCAGACUGGAACGCGCCUGACGGUGAGGGACGAAAGCCAGGGGAGCGAACCGGAUUAGAUACCCGGGUAGUCCUGGCCGUAAACGAUGCAUACUANGUGAUGGUACGGCCAUG
rnacentral:rRNA from 1 species